GUCCCUGUCCCGUCCCCGAGCUCCCUCACCUUGGUCAUCCUGUCCCUGUCCUGUCCCCGAGCUCCCUCACCUUGGUCAUCCUGUCCCUGUCCCGUCCCCGAGCUCCCUCACCUUGCUCAUCCUGUCCCUGUCCCGUUCCCGAGCUCCCUCACCUUGCUCAUCCUGUCCCGUCCCCGAGCUCCCUCACCUUGCUCAUCCUGUCCCUGUCCCGUUCCCGAGCUCCCUCACCUUGCUCAUCCUGUCCCUGUCCCGUCCCCGAGCUCCCUCACCUUGGUCAUCCUGUCCCUGUCCCGUCCCCGAGCUCCCUCACCUUGCUCAUCCUGUCCCGGUCACUGUCCCUCUCCUGGUCUCUAUCCCCGUCCCAGUCCCGUCCCCGAGCUCCGUCACCUUGGUCAUCCUGUCCCUGUCCCUGUCCCUAUCCCCAUCCCUAUGCCUGUCUCAGUCCCGUUCCCAGACCCGGCCCAAUCCCGUCCCUAUCCCCGUCCCGGUCUCCUUCCCCAUCCCCAUCUCAGUCCCUAUCCCCGUGCACAUCCCUGUUCCUAUCCCUGUCCCCGUCCCUGUUCCCGUCCCUGUCCCCAUCCCAGUCCCGUCCCCCGCCCCUGCCCAAUCCCGUUCCUCUCCCCAUCCCUGUCUCCAUCCCAGUCCCCGUCUCCUUCCCCAUGCCCGUGGCCAUCCCCGUUCCUCUCCCCAUCGCAGGGGCUCCUCCCCGGGCACUGGGAUCUGGCGCUGCCCCUGCCGUGUCCCCGCAGGCUCCAGGGUCCCGUGCCGGGAAGGGCCGCUCGGCCGGCCUUGUUUGAAUUUGUUUGAAUUUGUUUGAAUUUAUCUCGCUGCCUCUUCAGAGCGUUCCCCGUGCGCGCAGAUGAUUUAUGGAGAAACGUCGGGUACCAGCGUCGAUAUAAAGUGUUGGGAAUUGCAUGGAAGGGAAGGCGGCGUUUGGGAGCUUGGGAAUGGUUAACUGUGAGAUCCAAGGGGUGGGGAGUUUUCCGCUGUGAAAAGAGGGCUGCGUGUACUGGUGGUGGCUGCAACACUUGAUGGAUGCAGAAUUUAAGGGAGAAAGACAGGAAAGUCAUAUUCCCCCUUCUACACUUUGAACAAACUUCUACAUUUUGAACACUUUGGAUUAAUACAAACCCUUUACACAUUUUCUUGAAAAAUGAAUGUUAGAAUGAUUCUUUUUUUUAAUGUGCAUCUUUUUGGGGAACACUGAUACCUAACACACAAUUAUGCCAGGGUACAACAAACCACACUAGCAGCUGGAUGAUGUUGAGUGACAUGGAUUGGCUUCUCCCUGAUCUCACCCAUCCACUCCCACAUAUUCAUCUAACCUGGUGAGAGGGUGGGGAACUAAAGCAAAAGAAAGCCAUUUGUACACAAAAGUGAUUUACUUCUGGAGGAGCAGACAGGCUUUUGGGAGAUGCCUGCAUUUUUUGGGAUAGUCUAAUUAUACCCUUCAUCUUCUGGAUUAUGGGAUUUUACAGGACAAGUGCUGGUGACCAGUUAAACAGCAGGAAUAACAGCUUUCAGUGAAUAGGUCCAUGAUGGAAGGAUAGUUUUUUCUUGAGGAAACAUGGGGGGUUUGUACUUUCUCAGUGAUGGCUGUGGUGAUACAACUCUGCAUGCUCAUUCUCUGUGUCCAGCCUUGUUUUUUUCCACUCACUACAGCAGAUUCCCACCUCAUCACAGCCCUCGAGCAUCAUCCCAUAUGGAUUGGUGGGAUUUGGGGAGUCUGCAAAAAAGCAGCAGCCUGUGGAAAUGCAGCAUUUGUGAACAGGGAUCCUGUUCACAGCUCCCUGAGAGGUGCAGAGGGACAGCCCUGCCUCAUGUACAGCACCAGAUUCCUCUUUGUCUCGUGUCUUGUAACAGACAAAUGGUUUCUGAAGCACAUGAGGACUGCAGUAGCCAUGAUCCUGCAGGACCAACCCUUGGAGCUGUGCCAUCAUCUUUACAUUCACUCCCUCUGGAACCAUGCCAUGGUCCAAAAUCUGGGCUUUUUACUGAGCCAGAAGACUCAGAGGACUGAGAUAAGAAUUACCUUCCAAUGUCAUACAUGGAUUUGGAAAAAUAGCUGACAUUUGUGGUAGUUAUGCUUUCAAUUUCCAUCUCCUUACAGUUCUUAUUACUUGCCUGUCAUAUUUUGGCACUGGGCUUUUUACUCUGGUGAAACCUAACUUGUAUUUUCAGGAUAUAUAUCCAUAUCCAUCCACAUGGUCAGAGUGGUAAGAAUCAGCAUUUUUUUCAUUUGUAGGAGUUUCUGGUUUUGUUCCUUCCACUUCUUUUGAUUAGGUCUCUUCCCUUACACUCUUUUUCUUAUCCCACUGUCCUUUUGGAGCUGUGUCUAUUUAUUUAUCUGGUUUCUGUUAACUUGCCCCUGGCUCAGUCUGUGCUUGUUUAGGGGAGUUCACUACUGCAGGGUUUCUGUUCCUCCCCCUUUAUUCGCUUUAUUGCCUCAAAUUGCAAUGGAGUUGUCUCACCUUAGGAUGCUUGUCAACAGCAAAACAGAACUCAUCCAUUCUGGGCAUGGGUUUAUUUUGAAGAAAAAUCUUUAACUUCCUUUUCUUCCACCGUUCCUUUGGAGGGAAUUGGAUAAUAAUCCUCCCUCCAGCAGGAUCCUGGCUGGAUGACACUGCUGAUGGCCUUUGGCAGCACUCUGGGACACUGCUACUCAAGAGGCAGCAGCUUAAGCAGAGUGCAGUAUUCAGGCUGAAAAAAUGGUACAGAAGUCCUACCUACAGUAUUCCAUCAGCAUAAGCCACCUUGAAAUCCAGAGGAAAAUAA